rnacentral:rRNA from 1 species
UACGUAGGGCGCAAGCGUUGUCCGGAAUUAUUGGGCGUAAAGAGCUCGUAGGCGGCUUGUCGCGUCGAAUGUGAAAUCUCGGGGCUCAACUCCGAGCUUGCAUUCGACACGGGCAGGCUAGAGUUCGGUAGGGGAGACUGGAAUUCCUGGUGUAGCGGUGAAAUGCGCAGAUAUCAGGAGGAACACCGGUGGCGAAGGCGGGUCCCUGGACCAAUACUGACGAUCAGGUGCGAAAGCGUGGGGAGCAAACAGG